UGCCAUAAGCGGUGCCACGUUUGACUUGGACCGUAAAGAACCCCUCAGGUCAGCUGGGCUUCCAGAAGGAGCUCUUUGUAAUUAGCAAACUUUUUAAAAAAUUAACACAUGAAAUUCUUUGAGCCACUGCAGUGACCAUAUUCUCACUGAAGGCUUGUUUCUCUUCACGAGGAGGAAGAGUCAUGGACUGUAACUGAAAGACGACAGCCUGGGGAGACAGGAGGUUAAGUUCCACAAAACAGCUGACUAGAGAUCCCACCAGGCCUGUCACCACCUCCACCUCUAGCAUCUCAGAGGACAGCAUCAAAUGGGUCACUCUAGAUAUUUUUGUACUCUGAUGCUGUUACAAAAAGUGCUUCAUCAUCAAGGAGAUUCAUGGAAAGGCUAUGGAAACCGUUACAACAGUUCCACAUCAAGAUGAUGGCUAUGCGAGGAUUCCAGCACAUACCAACUUAAAACAAGGAGCUGUCCUACCCCUGGGGCCCCUAGAUCAGGCAUCCAGAGAUUUUUACUUCCUGACAGGCCCCUACUCAGCCUUGAAGCAGUUACAGAAGAUGGACCAUUGCCCCUCUGCUUCCCAUAAGAAUAUGGGAGUCUGAAUUUUUUUUUGUUUGUUUAUUCAAAAUUGUUCUAGCUACUGUAGGUCCUCUGCAUUUUCAUAUAAGUUUUAGAAUCAGCCUGUCAGUUUCUGUUUUGAAAACCAUGUUGGGAUUUUAACUAGGAUUACAUUGAACGAGGCAUCUCAACAAUUCAUAAAUAUAGUUUCUCUCUUUAUAUGUUUAAGUUUUCUUUAGUUUGUCUCACCAAUGUUUUAUAGUUUUCCAAGUAGAGGUCUUAUACACCUUUUUUUUUA